AUGUGAAGACACUUUCGUAAUAACUCUUUGUAUCUUUCCCAUGCCUCAUACAGGGACUCAUCAGCCAUUUGUUUGAAGGUAGUGAUCUCAUUCCUCAACUU
rfam:Gossypium raimondii Chr06_contig_728, whole genome shotgun sequence.